AGAAUAAGAAAGGACUUUAGAAUCGGAUGCGCUCGCCCAGCGAGAAAGGCCCUGACCCUGCCAACCAAGUAUCAAAAAGAAAGAAGAGAAAGAAAGGAGAAGAGAACUUCGUAUUUUGGUAACUCUCUAGGAGUCAUCUUUAACCUUGAAUGCUAUUAAUAGAUUCUACAGCAAUAGUCCCUCGGACUCGGAAAGUAAUAACGAAAAUAGCUAACCCAAUAGCAGAUUCCGCAGCUGCCACCGUUGGAACCAAUGAAGCAAAUGAUUGACCCAUCAUAUCAUCCGAAGAAACAGAAAAUACCAAAAAGUUCGAAUUCACAGCUAAUAACAUUGAUUCAAUUGGCAUUGACAUAAUAGGAAUAUUUCGUCUAUUAAGGAGGAUUCCCCGAAUACCUGAAAUAGAGAUAAUCAUAGAAAAUGUGAAAUAUUUGAUAGGAUCCAUUUCGGGAACGUAGAAUGUAAGAGAAAUUCAAAUGUGAAACAAUAGGUGAGCUCUUCUACUUGAAAUAUCCAUUAAUUAUGGAUAUGGAAGAAAUAUUCUUUUUCAUUUUUUUAGUAACAAAAUAAAAGAAAAGUAGGACCAAACUGAGAGUUAGUAGCAUAAAAAAAGAUGGAUUUGUGAAUGAAAAAUAGAAGUUUCCAAUAGGAAAAUCCAUCAAUGGCACAAUCUCAAAUUGUUCAGGUGGGCCACUUAUUUCUAAUUGUGAAAAUGGGCCACUUAUUUCUAAUUGUUCAGGUGGGCUGGAGACGAGAUCUUUCACUAGAUCCACUUGUUCAGGUGGGCCACUUAGAUCUAAUUGUUCAGUUUGGUCACUUAUUUCUAAUUGUUCAGUUUGGUCGGGGUCGUCUGUACGCGCGUCUUUCUUUGGCUUUUUAAAGAUAUCCUCCGCCCGUCCCCCUAUACUGUAAUAAUAUUUCAAUGCGCGUAGUAUAUAGUCGCUCUCCCUCUCGUAACGGCCUCGUACAGGGAAACCUCUUUUGGCAGUCUCGAUAACAAUAGGCUCUCCUAAUUUCUCCUCUAUCUUCUCGAUAACUGGGCGAGGUUUAAGGACUGGAAAGCCCUUGGUCCCACAACUCUCAAUAAAAGUCGUGUAGUUAAAAGGUUCGGUCGAUUGAGAAGGACUGGCGGCGAAAUCUUCAUAAAUAGUAGACAGUCUUCCUUUAAAAAUAGAAGAGAAGGGUCUUUUACUUUUAUUGGGCAUUCUUGAUUGAUUGAGACAAAAAGAUUCCCUCAAUACAGCUUCACUCCGUCAAACCUGUACGAGUAGUGAAGAGGUAUAGAUUUAGUUGGUUGUUGACCAACGGAAAGCAUGGGAUCAAAAAAGGCAGAAUUUACGCAAUUUCUUUUCUUUUUUAAAUCUCUUUCUUUUUUUUCCCCAACGACAAAGGAACUUACGGGCGGGGCAUUUUCGGGGGCUAGCCCGCUUCCCACCAUUACUCAAUAGGGCAAUUCCUCGCACAUAAUUAAGGGAGCCAUUGAAAGGUGACUAAAACACCAGAAACGGGGACUACCCGAGCUAAUGAUAGAGGCAAGAACACUUUCCGGCCAAGUCCCAUUAAUUGAUCAUAACGAUAUCGUGGAAAUGCUGCACGGACCCAUAUAUAUAGGAACAGAAAAAGAAUCACCUUGAUACUAAACCAGAUCGAGCCCGGGAUCUUCUUGGAAAUGGGAAGAUCUAGGAUAGGCGGCCAACCUCCUGGAGAGAGCGAUGUGCAUAGACCAGGUGAGUAGGGAUGCAGCUCCGUGGACCGCUCGUCGGGCCUGAUAGGUGGUGGUAUCACACCCUUCUCAAAGGAACCGUACGUGACACUCUCGCGUCAUACGGCUCCGUCCCGGAAGCAGGACCUUCCCUUUCCUUUCCUUUGACCAACGGGCCCCCAAACCUUUCUUAUUUCGUGCCGAACCGGGUCUCCAUCUUCGAACUUCCCGUUCGAUGAGACCCCACCCCAGGUCUCGCUGUUUCCGUUUUCUAGGUCACGCCUUAACCUCGUUAGAAAGCGGAGUUGGCUAGCUGCCGGCAUAUCUUUUACGUUACCGGCCACAUAGUCCGCAGCGUCUUUCACUGCAUCGCAUUUGCCGGGGCUGAAUCCCCUUUCUUGAGCGAUCGCCUUCGCUCGUUGGCAGAACGCCUUGAUGCGUGCGUCUAGUUUGUUGGGGUGACACUCCGCCUCUUUAUACUCUUAGGAGGCGAGAAACUCCCGUUCCCUUCUCCUUCCUUACUCUUCCGAGGAUGGUUCAGGGGGAGCCGGUUCCGCCUCCGGCUGAGGAGGGAAAUUUCAAUCGAUAGGCGGUAGCUUCGACGAGCUGGGACGUGGAAGUGAAAACCCUAAACUUGAAACCCUACCCUUCUUUGCUACUCACUAUCUAAGGGGCAAAUCCGAAGUCGGUUCUCAAGGCCCGGAAGCUCGGGGAUUGAAUACCCCUAUGUUCCAAGUGACUAGCUUGGCUGGUGAUGCGUUCACCCACUUGCACGCUUCCUUGCAAGCACGAAAUCCUUAGUUCGCCCGCUACCACACGGGCCGGUGUACUCUUAUCGCUAACCCCGAGAGAGGCUAUACUCUAAGAGCCAACCGACUCAUUAUCCCUGGACGCAAGGAUUAAGAAAUAGCGAUGUAUCAGGGGCUGAGCGUACCUUCCGCUCAGGAACAAGAAAUGGAGCUAUUAAGUUAAGGUGCCGCUUUCCUUUUUCUAGCCCUUCUUUGGGUUCCCUAUCGAUGCGUGUAUGCCUUCGUCGAAGAAAGAGGGGAAUCACAAGAAAUUUUCAUACAACUAGGCCUAAUUCCAUCGAUGAAUCAUUCGAGAACGAAUUUUGCGAGACUAAUCUAAUCUUAUUCAACCUUAGAUGGGAAUUAGGGCGAAGCCUGGGGCGGUCUCUGCCUUCUUAACACGCGGCACACCAACUUGAAGUCUGAUUUGAAAAUCUCUCUCUACCUUCACAAAACUUCUCGCGCCCUUCUCGUAGUUUUGACUUGCUCUUAGGUAGGCUACCGUUGACCGGCUUCGCGAGACCAUUUCGGUCUACACACACAUGGGUGGCUAAGCGCUAUUGGGCGGAGCUUUCUCUCAAUCCAAGCUAACUAAUAGAAGAAAAGAGAAGAAAGGAAGAUCUUAUAAGGGACUCACCCCAUCUUUACAUAAGCUAUUUCUUGAACGGAAAAAAUAGAUGCUUUCAUGGACUACUUUGACUUUAGGGAUUUGCUUCAUCAUUAGCUAAAGAAGAGAGACAAGGGGGAAGCUCAG
rnacentral:lncRNA from 1 species